rnacentral:rRNA from 1 species
GACGAACGCUGGCGGCGUGCUUAACACAUGCAAGUCGAACGGAAAGGCCCAGCUUGCUGGGUGCUCGAGUGGCGAACGGGUGAGUAACACGUGGGUGAUCUGCCUCUAACUUCGGGAUAAGCUUGGGAAACUGGGUCUAAUACCGGAUAGGACAAUCGUUUAGUGUCGGUUGUGGAAAGUUUUUUCGGUUAGGGAUGAGCCCGCGGCCUAUCAGCUUGUUGGCGGGGUAAUGGCCUACCAAGGCGUCGACGGGUAGCCGGCCUGAGAGGGUGGACGGCCACAUUGGGACUGAGAUACGGCCCAGACUCCUACGGGAGGCAGCAGUGGGGAAUAUUGCACAAUGGGCGCAAGCCUGAUGCAGCGACGCCGCGUGGGGGAUGACGGCCUUCGGGUUGUAAACCUCUUUCGACAGGGACGAAGCCUUGGUGACGGUACCUGUAUAAGAAGCACCGGCUAACUACGUG